UCGGAUAUGGUGUAAUGGCUAACAUUACCGCCUCUCAACUUCGAGAGUCAACUGACUCCCAAGGGUCAACGCGGUAGCUCGGGGUUCGAUUCCCCGUAUCCGAA